ACGGAGGAUGCGAGCGUUAUCCGGAUUCAUUGGGUUUAAAGGGUGCGUAGGCGGAUUAUUAAGUCAGUGGUGAAAUCCUGCGGCUUAACUGCAGAAGUGCCAUUGAUACUGAUAGCCUUGAGUUUGGUUAAGGUAGGCGGAAUGUGUAAUGUAGCGGUGAAAUGCUUAGAUAUCACACAGAACACCGAUGGCGAAGGCAGCUUACUGGACCGACACUGACGCUGAGGCGCGAAGGCGCGGGGAUCGAACAG
rnacentral:rRNA from 1 species